UACUAAUAUGGCAGAAAAGUGCAAUGAAUUUAAGCUUCAUUAAUAAAGGAAUCCUUUUUUUAGUA
rnacentral:tRNA from 1 species